UACCAGCACCCCGAGUGGUCGGGACGAUUAUUGGGCCUAAAGCAUCCGUAGCCGGUUUUACAAGUCCCCCGUUAAAUCCAGCUGCUUAGCAGAUGGGCUGCGGAGGAUACUAUAAGACUAGGAGGCAGGAGAGGCAAGCGGUACUCAGUGGGUAGGGGUAAAAUCCGUUGAUCCAUUGAAGACCACCAGUGGCGAAGGCGGCUUGCCAGAAUGCGCUCGACGGUGAGGGAUGAAAGCUGGGGGAGCAAACCGG
rnacentral:rRNA from 1 species